UUCUUCUUAUGAAAAAUAUUACAAAUAUAUUUGUAAUUUUGCUUGGGCUCUAUAAUUUGAGACUUACUUGGAAAGCUUAAACGGCUUUCCCUUCGAUCAAAUGUUACCGCCACAAUUUCACACUCGAUUAAGCAAACGAGCCGAAUUUUGUUGGACAGUGUCGUGUCGCCCACACGGCGCAAUCACAAGCGGCCGCUAACUAUUCGCUUGUCGCAUUUGUUUGAGCACGCCUAAAAAUAAGCAUCCAAUUGGGAUUCACGUGAUGCCACAGUGCGUCGUCCAGAUCUGUGCGGAGUGAGAAGCGUUUCGCUUAUCAAAGCGUUUGCGCAUCUUCGCCCCGAAGUCCGACCUGGGCCUGUAUAGACAGGCCCGGGUCCAGGCUACUCAGGCCCCGGCAGCGGACGCGGUCGAUAAACGGGCCGGAUCGCGGGUCUCUACAUUGCCGUCGACUGAUUACGCGUUCGAUGUUUAGCACCCUCCCCCUUCCCUGCCCAACAUCAGCUAUCUGCUUCGCCGAGCUAGCUAAAUACUAUGCCACAAUUUUGGGGGUCAGUUGCUCGCCUCGAGAAUCACGUGAAGCGCACGCGAUGCCCAACCGAGUGCACGUUUCCUCCUCUGCCGCUGAUAAAACGUGCCUCGGCCAGACAUUUGGCCAUGACGAAAUCUAUUUUUAUUGCCCAACUGGAAUUGAUAAACUAGCCGCUGCAAACUGGACGCCAACUCUGGAGCCAACUCGAUUGGGAUUUAUGCUGCCUGAUUUAUGUAUCGAGAUGCCUUCAAAGUAUAUUC